rnacentral:rRNA from 1 species
AUUGAACGCUGGCGGCAGGCUUAACACAUGCAAGUCGAGCGAGCGGCGGACGGGUGAGUAACGUCUGGGAAACUGCCUCAUGGAGGGGGAUAACUACUGGAAACGGUAGCUAAUACCGCAUACCAUAAGAUGUUCCCAGAUGGUAUUAGCUAGUAGGUGGGGUAAUGGCUCACCUAGGCGACGAUCCCUAGCUGGUCUGCGAGGAUGACCAGCCACACGGGAACUGAGACACGGUCAAGACUCCUACGGGAGGAAGCGGUGGGGAAUAUUGGAAAAUGGGGGCAAGCCUGAUGCAGCAAUGCCGCGUGUGUGAAGAGGGCCUUCGGGUUGUAAAGCACUUUAAGCGAGGAGGCGUUACUCGCAGAAGAAGCACCGGCUAACUCCGUGCCAGCAGCCGCGGUAAUAC